rnacentral:rRNA from 1 species
GAGUUUGAUCUUGGCUCAGAGCGAACGCUGGCGGCAGGCUUAACACAUGCAAGUCGAGCGCCCCGCAAGGGGAGGCGGCAGACGGGUGAGUAACACGUGGGAACGUACCCUUCAGUUCGGAACAACCCAGGGAAACUUGGGCUAAUACCGGAUACGUCCGUAAGGAGAAAGAUUUAUCGCUGAAGGAUCGGCCCGCGUCUGAUUAGCUAGUUGGUGAGGUAAUGGCUCACCAAGGCUACGAUCAGUAGCUGGUCUGAGAGGAUGAUCAGCCACAUUGGGACUGAGACACGGCCCAAACUCCUACGGGAGGCAGCAGUGGGGAAUAUUGGACAAUGGGGGCGAACCCUGAUCCAGCCAUGCCGCGUGAGUGAUGAAGGCCCUAGGGUUGUAAAGCUCUUUUAGUCAGGGAAGAUAAUGACGGUACCUGCAGAAAAGACCCCGGCUAACUUCGUGCCAGCCGCCGCAGU